GGCCGCGUGGCGCAGUGGAUAACGCGUCUGCCUUCGGAGCAGAAGGUUGCAGGUUCGAAUCCUGCCGUGGUCG
rnacentral:tRNA from 1 species